GAAAACAACUAGUGGUUGACGAGAGUCACGCGACUGAUGAGGGUCAACUGCAUUCUACUGUUCUUCCUUCAUCUCCUCAGCAGGAUAUGGCAACUCCGCCUCCAAAGCACAGAUAUCUGACUUGAAGAUCAAGUGCAGUCCCAAACCAAUGUGCAAGUUGUACGGCUUCCCCCAGAUAUUUACUUCAGAACCAAAUGGGAACUCCCAAAACAUGUUUUGUCACGGAAAAGAGGAGUCUGCUAAAGGCAAAAAAGUACGCCCCAUCCAGCAAGCAGAGAGAUACUGGCUUUUGAACAUUGUACUACAGAAUUCCCUCGGCAAAUCAGGCCUGAUCAUGUACUACAAGUCUCAACUGAAUCAGAAGACUCCUCUGCUUCAAUUGGGAAGGACAGGCUAGAAGUGGAAUCUUUGUGUAAUCUUUAUUGUAGCUAAGAAUAACUGCAAAUAUUUGGAGAAUUAGUCUAUGCAGCAAAGUAACUUGGGGUACUGGAGAAACCACCUAAACAACAUAGAUUAAGUUCGUAUUGUACCUUUCCUUUUAUUUGAAGUUAUUUCAUCGAA